rnacentral:rRNA from 1 species
CCCUGAUGGAGGGGGAUAACUACUGGAAACGGUGGCUAAUACCGCAUAACGUCGCAAGACCAAAGAGGGGGACCUUCGGGCCUCUUGCCAUCAGAUGUGCCCAGAUGGGAUUAGCUUGUUGGUGAGGUAAUGGCUCACCAAGGCGACGAUCCCUAGCUGGUCUGAGAGGAUGACCAGCCACACUGGAACUGAGACACGGUCCAGACUCCUACGGGAGGCAGCAGUGGGGAAUAUUGCACAAUGGGCGCAAGCCUGAUG